AUUGAACGCUGGCGGAAUGCUUUACACAUGCAAGUCGAACGGCAGCACGGGUGCUUGCACCUGGUGGCGAGUGGCGAACGGGUGAGUAAUACAUCGGAACGUACCCAGUCGUGGGGGAUAACUAACCGAAAGGUUAGCUAAUACCGCAUACGCCCUGAGGGGGAAAGCGGGGGACCGUAAGGCCUCGCGCGAUUGGAGCGGCCGAUGUCUGAUUAGCUAGUUGGUGAGGUAAAGGCUCACCAAGGCGACGAUCAGUAGCUGGUCUGAGAGGAUGAUCAGCCACACUGGAACUGAGACACGGCCCAGACUCCUACGGGAGGCAGCAGUGGGGAAUUUCGGACAAUGGGGGAAACCCUGAUCCAGCCAUUCCGCGUGAGUGAAGAAGGCCUUCGGGUUGUAAAGCUCUUUCGGCAGGGAAGAAACGCUCUGGGUUAAUAACCCGGGGUAAUGACGGUACCUGAAGAAGAAGCACCGGCUAACUACGUGCCAGCCGCCGCUGUAA
rnacentral:rRNA from 1 species